CAGAUGAGAGAUAUUGGAGAAAGGUUGAUCAUGGACAUUUGGCAGAGCGCUGUGUGAUCAUGUUUACAUCUCGUUUCUCCAAGAGAGCUGAGCUGAGAAAAUAUGCAGCCUUUGCAGGUGGUGACACACAUCUCUGCGUGUCUGGCAGACAUCUCAGCUUGGAUGUUGGCCCACCACCUUAAACUCAACCUCAAAAACCAGCGCUGCUCUUCCUCUCAGGGAAGGGCCUACCCGCUCCAAGAGCUCUCCAUCACGGUUGACAACUCCUUGGUGUGACCCUGGACAACACCAUCAUUCUCUACAAACAUCAAAGCAGUGACUUGCUCCUGCAGGUUCAUGCUCUACAACUAGGGCUGUUGCAUUGACUGUAUCACAGCCACACCGGUAGUCACAAACCUUUGGUCACAGUAAUCUCAUCCAAAACGGUGCAAAUGAAUGGCACUGAUGGGUAGCCUACCAAACAGUCCUUGCACUCAGCUAUUGUCACUCUAAUCAAUCUCUAAACACUUCAUGAUUGAAUACAUUUACAUUUUUGUCAUUUAGCAGAGACUCAUUGAGUCCAAUCUUUAAAAUGUCAUUUAACUAAUCUUCAUAAAGCUAAAAAAGAAACAUUGUAAAAUCAACUCUACUGUUUCCCUUUAUUAAAAUACAACCAGUUGUCCAUG